GACGAACGCUGGCGGCGUGCUUUACACAUGCAAGUCGAACGGUGAAGGUGGAGCUUGCUCCGCCGGAUCAGUGGCGAACGGGUGAGUAACACGUGGGCAACCUGCCCCUAACUUUGGGAUAACUACUCGAAAGAGUAGCUAAUACCGGAUAUGAAGUCUGUAGGCAUCUAUGGAUUUGGAAAGUUUUUCGGUUAGGGAUGGGCCGGCGGCCUAUCAGCUUGUUGGUGAGGUAGUGGCUCACCAAGGCGACGACGGGUAGCCGGCCUGAGAGGGCGACCGGCCACACUGGGACUGAGACACGGCCCAGACUCCUACGGGAGGCAGCAGUGGGGAAUAUUGCGCAAUGGGCGAAAGCCUGACGCAGCAACGCCGCGUGCGGGAUGAAGGCCUUCGGGUUGUAGACCGCUUUCAGCAGGGAAGAAGCGAAAGUGACGGUACCUGCAGAAGAAGCACCGGCUAACUACGUGCCAGCCGCCGCCGUAA
rnacentral:rRNA from 1 species